UACGGAGGGUGCGAGCGUUAAUCGGAAUUACUGGGCGUAAAGCGCACGCAGGCGGUUUGUUAAGCUAGAUGAGAAAGCCCCGGGCUCAACCUGGGAUGGUCAUUUAGAACUGGCAGACUAGAGUCUUGGAGAGGGGAGUGGAAUUCCAGGUGUAGCGGUGAAAUGCGUAGAUAUCUGGAGGAACAUCAGUGGCGAAGGCGACUCCCUGGCCAAAGACUGACGCUCAUGUGCGAAAGUGUGGGUAGCGAACAGG
rnacentral:rRNA from 1 species